AUAAUGACAUAAUUAGACUGAUAAGAUAACGAGAAAAGUGAUGUAU
rnacentral:guide_RNA from 1 species